rnacentral:rRNA from 1 species
UACGAAGGGGGCUAGCGUUGCUCGGAAUCACUGGGCGUAAAGCGCACGUAGGCGGAUUGCUAAGUCAGGGGUGAAAUCCUGGAGCUCAACUCCAGAACUGCCUUUGAUACUGGCGAUCUCGAGUCCGGGAGAGGUGAGUGGAACUGCGAGUGUAGAGGUGAAAUGCGUAGAUAUUGGGAGGAACACCAGUGGCGAAGGCGGCUCACUGGACCGGUACUGACGCUGAUGCGCGAAAGCGUGGGGAGCAAACAGG